GCAAACAUAAGUGCAAUGCCGAUGGGAAGCCCAACCACGUAAUACCCAAUGGCGUUAACAACGGCUCCAAACUUCUGAUUCCCACUUCCCCUCAGGAUGCCGCCGCUCGUUCCCUGCAGGUAGACAGCAUCACCCAUAAAGCCCAAGAGAUUACUACACAAUACCUACAGCAAGGCUCUCGAAGAGGUGCGAAACCGCAUAAAUCGGGGUCACCCGGGCCACCAACGCGAUGAUGUCUCUGUUGGGAAGAUACAGCACAUGGUGAUUAGUAAGGAACAAGCAAGUGGCAGCGGGGGCCCCUGCGGUCCCACAGCAGGGACUUUUGUGUCUAAGCCACUCCACAAGACUCAGCUUUUGCUGUACGCACAUCCCAGCCAACAGCCGAGCCCGGCACAGCUCUUUUGUCCGGCCCGUGGAUCAUUCAACUGUGUCAAAUCACACAGUUUGUACAACACACACCUAGUCCGUCGGCUCACAUAGACGAAUGAAAUAACCUGGUACCUCUCCCUA